rnacentral:ncRNA from 2 species
CUCCCCAAGGAGCGUUGCAGCGCCACCGCCCCUCGCGCUGCGCGCGAGGGCGAGGCGUCAGGCUUGGGUUCAACGACGCUCGCCUGAU